UUACUAUUUUGUAGUUCCAGGGUUCUAAUAAGCUCCUUGCCUGGAGAUACAGUAGGAACCUAACAUCCUCACGUGGUCUCUCUUUGCCUUUCCUUUGGGCUGUCUCCUUGAAUAUUUCUUCUCCUUACCAUCUGGUUUCUGCUCACCCAUUAGUUGGGACUGAUGUCUGGCAGUUCUCUGUUCCCAGCCUCACCAGUCAUAUGUUUCCUUUCUCCUUGAGCAGGGUUUCCCAUUCCUACACCUCAGCUGAUCUGCCUGCAAGAACAAGGAGAGAUGGCAUGGGUCCAGACUUAAGGGAAAUCCAGGAUGAGGAAGACCAAAGCACUUGGCCAACUGUAUAUCAGACACAUCCAGCAGAGGACACCUGGAGUCUACCAUGCACUGGCCCUUGGUACCAACUCAGGCACUAUGAGCCCCACCAGCUUCUCGGCAUUCCUCAGUUCUGUUUCAGAUAGUGGGCAUGCAACACUGUGCAAAACAGUACGGUGAUUCCUUAAAAGACUGGGAAUAGACUUACCAUAUGACCCAGCAAUCCCACUACUGGGCAUAUAUCCAGAAGGAACCCUACUUCAAAAGGAUACCUGCACCCCAGUGUUCAUAGCAGCAGUAUUUACAAUAGCCAAGACAUGGAAACAGCCUAAAUGUCCAUCGACAGAUG